rnacentral:rRNA from 1 species
UACGAAGGGGGCUAGCGUUGUUCGGAUUUACUGGGCGUAAAGCGCACGUAGGCGGUUUGUUAAGUGAGAGGUGAAAUCCCAGAGCUCAACUCUGGAACUGCCUUUCAUACUGGCAAGCUAGAGUCCGGAAGAGGUAAGUGGAACUCCUAGUGUAGAGGUGGAAUUCGUAGAUAUUAGGAAGAACACCAGUGGCGAAGGCGGCUUACUGGUCCGGAACUGACGCUGAGGUGCGAAAGCGUGGGGAGCAAA